GCGGUUCCGGUUCACGCACGUGGUCAACCACGGGCGACCCGGCGGCC
rnacentral:ncRNA from 1 species